UACGAAGGGUGCAAACGUUGUUCGGAAUCAUUGGGCGUAAAGCGCACGUAGGCGGCUUGCCAAGUCGGACGUGAAAUCCCUCAGCUCAACUGAGGACGUGCAUCCGAAACUGGCGAGCUUGAGUACUGAAGAGGAUCACGGAAUUCCCGGUGUAGAGGUGAAAUUCGUAGAUAUCGGGAGGAACACCAGUGGCGAAGGCGGCGAUCUGGGCAGAUACUGACGCUGAGGUGCGAAAGCGUGGGGAGCAAACAGG
rnacentral:rRNA from 1 species